CUCACUACCUAAAGCUCUAAGAGACUAACUCUCCUGCCUAACCCAGCGUCUGUUUGCCUGGGCUGAACUUCCUCUCCACUAUAUGAGGGUACUUUCUGCAUACAACCCUUGAAAGCUCUGGACCCUGCACUCUUCUACAAACUCACUACCUAAAGCUCUAAGAGACUAACUCUCCUGCCUAACCCAGCGUCUGUUUGCCUGGGCUGAACUUCCUCUCCACUAUAUGAGGGUACUUUCUGCAUACAACCCUUGAAAGCUCUGGACCCUGCACUCUUCUACAAACUCACUACCUAAAGCUCUAAGAGACUAACUCUCCUGCCUAACCCAGCGUCUGUUUGCCUGGGCUGAACUUCCUCUCCACUAUAUGAGGGUACUUUCUGCAUACAACCCUUGAAAGCUCUGGACCCUGCACUCUUCUACAAACUCACUACCUAAAGCUCUAAGAGACUAACUCUCCUGCCUAACCCAGCGUCUGUUUGCCUGGGCUGAACUUCCUCUCCACUAUAUGAGGGUACUUUCUGCAUACAACCCUUGAAAGCUCUGGACCCUGCACUCUUCUACAAACUCACUACCUAAAGCUCUAAGAGACUAACUCUCCUGCCUAACCCAGCGUCUGUUUGCCUGGGCUGAACUUCCUCUCCACUAUAUGAGGGUACUUUCUGCAUACAACCCUUGAAAGCUCUGGACCCUGCACUCUUCUACAAACUCACUACCUAAAGCUCUAAGAGACUAACUCUCCUGCCUAACCCAGCGUCUGUUUGCCUGGGCUGAACUUCCUCUCCACUAUAUGAGGGUACUUUCUGCAUACAACCCUUGAAAGCUCUGGACCCUGCACUCUUCUACAAACUCACUACCUAAAGCUCUAAGAGACUAACUCUCCUGCCUAACCCAGCGUCUGUUUGCCUGGGCUGAACUUCCUCUCCACUAUAUGAGGGUACUUUCUGCAUACAACCCUUGAAAGCUCUGGACCCUGCACUCUUCUACAAACUCACUACCUAAAGCUCUAAGAGACUAACUCUCCUGCCUAACCCAGCGUCUGUUUGCCUGGGCUGAACUUCCUCUCCACUAUAUGAGGGUACUUUCUGCAUACAACCCUUGAAAGCUCUGGACCCUGCACUCUUCUACAAACUCACUACCUAAAGCUCUAAGAGACUAACUCUCCUGCCUAACCCAGCGUCUGUUUGCCUGGGCUGAACUUCCUCUCCACUAUAUGAGGGUACUUUCUGCAUACAACCCUUGAAAGCUCUGGACCCUGCACUCUUCUACAAACUCACUACCUAAAGCUCUAAGAGAGUAUGUUUAAUUAAUUUGUUUAUGGUCUCUUCCUAAUUUUUAUCUUGUGCUGUUUUGGUUUGCUCCCACCUAGUUUCCUAGCAGCAGCCCCCCCUAUACCCCUUACUCUGUUUAAUCUUCCUCUCUCUGUCCUUAGUGUUGUACUUAGCCUGUACUCUCCCUCCCAGUAGUGUUUGUCAUUGUUUCUUUCCUACCCCUGAACCUUGUGACUCCUCUCUGUACCUUGACUUCUGUGUCCAGUAGGUAUCACUCUGUCCACUCCAAGACCUACAGAACUGGACAUUUCCCAUCCAUAUUCUUCCUACCCUCACCUUCUCACCCCUUUUCCUUUCCAUCUCUGAAGUGCUCUGUGACCCACUCCCCCUUCCCUUUCUAUCUCAAACCUUCUCUUUGCUAACUUUCUCUGUUACUUUUUCCUU